rnacentral:tRNA from 1 species
GGGCAGAUACCGAAGUGGCCAAACGGGGUGGACUGUAAAUCCACUGUCUCUGACUUCGAAGGUUCGAAUCCUUCUCUGCCCA